ensembl:lncRNA
GAAACACGAUGGGGCCCCAUGCAGCCCUCUCCGGGGACACACAUGCCGUCCCGAAGAGCGCUCCUCCCUUCGGCUCGAUUCGGUUCGACUCGGUUGACCUCGGCUCAGCUCGGCUCGGUUCGGCUUUCCUCGGCUCGUCUCGGCCGCUGCCCCGCAGCUUCCCGUCCUGCCCCGCUCACACUGCAGCAUCUCCCCGCUCAGAGGACACCGGGACGCGGCCGCGGCAUGGACCGCUCCCGGACACUGCCCCCGGACAGGACCCCGGCCGGAGCGGACAGGACACCCCGGCUGUGAGCACUCUGAGUCCGGUGUGGUGCAGGUCAUCCCGUGAUACGCAUGCAAAACAAGCAUGAAGCACAGUGUUGUGGACAGAGUCAAGGACAGAGUUUUCUUCAGAUGAAUGAAGUGUACUGCAGCUGUGGAGGGAGUAAAGAACCAGGCAUGAGGAGAAGGAUGGCAGAGAGUCCGGCUCUAUCUGCAGCUCCAUCCAGCUCACUGGAAGCCCGUGAAAUAUUUAUCACAUGCCUCUCAAUGCUGGAGCAGCGGGCCAGAUGAUGGUCAGUUACUGCUGUAACGCUGUGUGGGAAAGUGUGUGUGAGGAAGCAGAGAGAGAUGUUUCUAAAAAUAGGAAGCGUUCGCCCGGAUGACAGAGGAUGAGAAAUAACAGGAGCGUCUGCAGAAAAUUAUUAAAAUGUGGAGUCAGGGAGCUCGAAACUGAAAUUAUUUGUGAUUAAUGAAAGAUUUUAUCCCUCAGUAUGAAGUGAUCUUUUAGUGUGUAAAACUGAUGCAUGUUUUCAAGCAGUUCAAGGGUGAAUUUACGAAAACCUGCAAAAAACUUCAAAGAGAAUAUUUCUGAGCCAUUGUUGGAAAUAAGCCCACAAUUUUUCUCCCUAUAAAAUCAUUCAUUUUUCAUUACAUGUCAAGCAGAUCUGUAAGUAACUAGAAUUACUUUAAAUUUUCUAUAUUCCCACAAAUCUACACUUUAAAGUUGAUAUAAAUUCUCCUUUUUGUGACAUAAAACUGACAAUACCCACUUAUUUCACUUUUUCUAAGAAAAGAAUAAAGAGUUAAACUUACUCAUAGAAAUUGAAGUGGAACAUCUUUUAAUUCAACAUUUUAAAUGAAUUCCACUUUAAAAUGAUUAGAAGCACCGAGCUGUGGAAACAAUAAACUAAAUGUGACGUAAAUAUGUGAUGUUUCCUCUGAUUUCAUUAACACUCACUUUUCAUCUGAGUUUAGAAACUAAAGAUAUUUUAACUUUAAUGUUAAAUCUCUCAGCAGCAGGUGUUUUAAUCUGAAAUGUUCUUCUCGUUACAGCUUUAAUGCUUUAUUUCCCUUCAAAAUACAUUUAUUUAGUUUAAUAUGGUUCCAUAAAAACUCCUCAGUAACAUAUGGGAAGAGCUUUGUGUCUCACUUUUUGAAAUGUGAAAAUUGGUUUUGUCCAUUUGUUUAAAAUGCUUUUAGACCAGUUGGUCUGCAUGGAACUUUAUUUUGAAAGAAAACACAAAAGGUCAAAAAGGAAAUUGUUUCUUUUUGUUCCUUUGAUUCCCAGUUAAGACACUCAGGCAAGAAAUGUUUUACAUUAUGUGCUUAAAAUGGCCUUGAAAUGCAAAAUAACUGAAUUUUAAAUGUGUAAUUCAAACCGUGAUUAAUCUUGAUUUGAAAAUCAGUUAAAGUAAUCUGAAUAAUUUACUGGCCUUAGGAAACAAAACACUCCAGAAAGGUUCAAUUGCUUGAACUUAUUAUUAUUGUUAUUAUUAUUAUUAUUAUUAUUGUUAUUAUUAUUAUUAUUAUUAUUAUUAUUGUUAUUAUUAUUAAUGUUGGUGUUGUUGUUGUUGUUGUUAUUGCAGCAGUAUAUCCAAGUAGAUAUAUCAAUAAAUGAUUAUAUAU